GAUGAACGCUGGCGGCGUGCCUAAUACAUGCAAGUCGAGCGAACAGACGAGGAUCUUGCUCCUCGGACGUUAGCGGCGGACGGGUGUGUAACACGUGGAUAACCUACCUAUAAUACUGGGAUAACUUCGGGAAACCGGAGCUAAUACCGGAUAAGAUAUUGAACCGCAUGGUUCAAUAGUGAAAGACGGUGUUUCUGGCACUUAUAGAUGGAUCCGCGCCGCAUGAGCUAGUUGGUAAGGUAACGGCUUACCAAGGGAACGAUGCGUAGACGACCUGAGAGGGUGGUAGGCCACCAUGGAACUGAGCCACGGUCAAGACUCCUACGGGAGGCAGCAGUAGGGAACCUUACGCAACGGGCGAAAGCCUGACGGAGCAACGCCGCGCGAGUGAUGAAGGUGUCGCGAUCGUAAAACUCUGUUAUGAGGGAAGAACAAAUGUGUAAGUAACUAUGCACGUAUUGACGGUAACUAAUCAGAAAGCAACGGCUAACUACGUG
rnacentral:rRNA from 1 species